rnacentral:snRNA from 1 species
AGAUGUAAGGGUGAUCUGACUGUGACAUCUGUCACCACACUGAUAGUCAGUGUUCAUUCAGCUGAUCUGGCUGGCUAGGUGGGUGUCCCCUUCCUCCCUCAAGCUCUGUGUGCGUCCCUCCCGUAGCUGUGUGCUCGGUGGAAGAGGACGACCACCCCUGAUAGUGGAGGACUGUUCCUCUGUCAAGGGUACACGAGUAGCUGCGCUCCCCUGCUAGAACCUCCAAACAAGCUCUCAAGAAAGAACCAGAAGGAAAAAUAGCAGAAAUCAAGCAUAUCCGUUGUGUUAAC